AGCGAACGCUGGCGGCAGGCUUAACACAUGCAAGUCGAGCGGGCCCUUCGGGGUCAUCGUCAGACGGGUGAGUAACACGUGGGAACGUACCCUUUGGUUCGGAAUAACGCUGGGAAACUAGCGCUAAUACCGGAUACGCCCUUUUGGGGAAAGGCUUGCUGCCGAAGGAUCGUCCCGCGUCUGAUUAGCUAGUUGGUGGGGUAAUGGCCUACCAAGGCGACGAUCAGUAGCUGGUCUGAGAGGAUGAUCAGCCACACUGGGACUGAGACACGGCCCAGACUCCUACGGGAGGCAGCAGUGGGGAAUAUUGGACAAUGGGCGCAAGCAUGAUCCAGCCAUGCCGCGUGAGUGAUGAAGGCCUUAGGGUUGUAAAGCUCUUUUGUCCGGGAAGAUAAUGACGGUACCGGAAGAAUAAGCCCCGGCUAACUUCGUG
rnacentral:rRNA from 1 species